CCAAAAAUCAAGAGCAAAUUUUCAAUACGCCCUAAGUAACAUUUUGGUUUUAUCGCGAAAAUCGAAUUCAAAGUUUUGGUUUUCAUUUUUAAUUCCUAUUUAACGGUGAAACCGAAACCAAUAUAAUGAAUAUGCGCAAACGAUAUCAGAUAACAAUGUCUAUUGCUCCCUAAUAAAAAAUAUGGAUAAAGAUCAAAAAAAUAUUAAUUUUUUGCAAUAAAACUAUUCUAUGUCGUUUGGUGCCUGAAAAAAUAGAUAAGACAUUUUGUUAAGUCAUUCUGAAAGCUCUCGGUUACUUUCGUCGGGUGCGUUACGUCGCGUUACGCGAAAUUAUGUUGCUUACGUCGGUCUGUUUACGUCAUGAUGCCAGCUGUCAUGUUGGUUAAGUCAGAUCGACAUACGUCGUUGGGAGUGAAAAAUUGGCACUUAAGCCAAACGAGUUUCUCCAGCAAAAAAGAAAGUGUUUCCCACGUAACACCGGUGCGUUGGUGCGGUCAAAAGUAAGGACCUGUGGCGAUUAAUCACCAAUAUAAUUUUGCCCUACUGGCCAUCAGAUCAGAAGUCUAGGAACAUUGGGUUCCCAUUCUACGAUAAUGAUGCCGAGAGAAGGAAGAGGAACAUAAGGACCGCUAAUAUCAAGCCCUUCUGGUCUCGCUGACGACCUGUGAUUCCGCCACCAGAGAUGCACACAUUUCGCUUCCGUUGGUCAGGAAAAGGAAAACCAGAGACGUCUGUUUCAUUGCCGCUAUGUGAACCGCUCCAGGAAUAUUAGAGCAAGCAGUUGGUGCCCGUUAUAGAAGUCCCAGAACAACAGCUACCGCGCACCCACUAUAACAACCAGUUUUAUUAGCGGAAUCACCCGGAGGCGUGCUGAAGCCAACAAGAACGACACAAAGAUCUGAUCAUCCUUCUGUUGAGACGACCCUUCUCUCGUUCGAUAAAAUAGCUGGCCGCCCGCACUUACCGCUGGGUUUCAGAAACGAUGAGAACGAGGUCAUGAGCUCGGCUGGGAGGAUAUCCUGGCACUAGCUGACGCCGAAGCUUCCAUCAUGGAUAAUCCAUUAAACUGCGGGAGUUCUCUUCCAAAAGCUUAAGCUUAUUUGAUUUUAAUUGACAACGCUGGAAACAAUCCCGACUAAUUGAAAAUGUUUCAGUCCAACUAGCGAACUAAUCGUUUUUAAAAAUAAAUAGUUUAAAUACAUCAAGAAUAAAAAAGAAACUCUA